rnacentral:rRNA from 1 species
AGUGAACGCUGGCGGCAGGCCUAACACAUGCAAGUCGAGCGGCAGCGCGGGGGCAACCCUGGCGGCGAGCGGUGGAUGGGUGAAGAAUACAUCGGAAUCUACCUUCUUGUGGGGGAUAACGUAGGGAAACUUACGCUAAUACCGCAUGAGACCUGAGGGUGAAAGCAGGGGACCGCAAGGCCUUGCGCGAGAAGAUGAGCCGAUGUCCGAUUAGCUAGUUGGUGAGGUAAAGGCUCACCAAGGCGACGAUCGGUAGCUGGUCUGAGAGGAUGGUCAGCCAGCGUGGAACUGAGACAGGGGACAGACACCGACGGGGGGCAGCAGUGGGGAAUAUUGGGCAAGGGGCGCAAGCCUGAUCCAGCAAUGCCGCGUGCAGGAUGAAGGCCUUAGGGUUGUCAACGGCUUUUGUACGGAACGAAAAGACCUGGGUUAAUACCCUGGGGUCAUGACGGUACCGUAAGAAUAAGCACCGGCUAACUACGUGCCAGCAGCCGCCGUAAUAC